rnacentral:pre_miRNA from 1 species
UGCUCCUUCUCUCUAAUCCUUGCUACCUGGUUGCUAGUGCUUUCUAUAUGCAAUGCACCUGGGCAAGGAUUCAGAGUGG